rnacentral:rRNA from 1 species
UACGUAGGGUGCAAGCGUUAAUCGGAAUUACUGGGCGUAAAGCGUGCGCAGGCGGUUUGGUAAGACAGAUGUGAAAUCCCCGGGUCAUCACUGGGAACUGCAUUUGUGACUGCAUGGCUGAGAGCGGGUAGAGGGGGAUGGAAUUCCGCGUGUAGCAGUGAAAUGCGUAGAUAUGCGGAGGAACACCGAUGGCGAAGGCAAUCCCCCUGGG